AGUUCUCGUUGAUGAUCGGUGCUUGCACCGAGAUUCAACAUCGAACGAGUGGCGGACGGGUGAGUAACACGUGGGUAACCUGCCCUUAAGUGGGGGAUAACAUUUGGAAACAGAUGCUAAUACCGCAUAGAUCCAAGAACCGCAUGGUUCUUGGCUGAAAGAUGGCGUAAGCUAUCGCUUUUGGAUGGACCCGCGGCGUAUUAGCUAGUUGGUGAGGUAAUGGCUCACCAAGGCGAUGAUACGUAGCCGAACUGAGAGGUUGAUCGGCCACAUUGGGACUGAGACACGGCCCAAACUCCUACGGGAGGCAGCAGUAGGGAAUCUUCCACAAUGGACGCAAGUCUGAUGGAGCAACGCCGCGUGAGUGAAGAAGGCUUUCGGGUCGUAAAACUCUGUUGUUGGAGAAGAAUGGUCGGCAGAGUAACUGUUGCCGGCGUGACGGUAUCCAACCAGAAAGCCACGGCUAACUACGUGCCAGCAGCCGCGGUAAUACGUAGGUGGCAAGCGUUAUCCGGAUUUAUUGGGCGUAAGGCGAGCGCAGGCGGUUUUUUAAGUCUGAUGUGAAAGCCCUCGGCUUAACCGAGGAAGCGCAUCGGAAACUGGGAAACUUGAGUGCAGAAGAGGACAGUGGAACUCCAUGUGUAGCGGUGAAAUGCGUAGAUAUAUGGAAGAACACCAGUGGCGAAGGCGGCUGUCUGGUCUGUAACUGACGCUGAGGCUCGAAAGCAUGGGUAGCGAACAGGAUUAGAUACCCUGGUAGUCCAUGCCGUAAACGAUGAAUGCUAGGUGUUGG
rnacentral:rRNA from 1 species